UACGUAGGGUGCGAGCGUUGUCCGGAAUUAUUGGGCGUAAAGGGCUCGUAGGCGGUUUGUCGCGUCGGGAGUGAAAACACCGGGCUUAACUCGGUGCUUGCUUUCGAUACGGGCAGACUAGAGGCAUGCAGGGGAGAACGGAAUUCCUGGUGUAGCGGUGAAAUGCGCAGAUAUCAGGAGGAACACCGAUGGCGAAGGCAGAUCUCUGGGCCGUAACUGACGCUGAGGAGCGAAAGCGUGGGGAGCGAACAGG
rnacentral:rRNA from 1 species